UACGAAGGGGGCUAGCGUUGUUCGGAAUUACUGGGCGUAAAGGGCGCGUAGGCGGUGUGUCAAGUCAGGCGUGAAAGCCCCGGGCUCAACCUGGGAACCGCGCUUGAGACUGGCACGCUAGAGUUCGGGAGAGGAUGGUGGAAUUCCCAGUGUAGAGGUGAAAUUCGUAGAUAUUAGGAAGAACACCAGUGGCGAAGGCGGCUCACUGGCCCGGUACUGACGCUGAGGCGCGAAAGCGUGGGGAGCAAACAGG
rnacentral:rRNA from 1 species